ACAUCAAUAUUAAUUUAAUGACAUUCCAUAAGAAUAAAAAUCCAAUAGGACCAAGAUUUUAGCAGUUCACACCCGGUCAGAGGGACAAAAUUGAGAACCAUGCAGAUCAGCAAGUGUGGGUUACACUUUAAUUAGGAACAGGAUAUCUGAAUUGGAAAAUUGCAAGGUUUCCCACUGCCCAAGCUGUUUAAGUACUGGUAUCACAACAAGUACCAAGACGGAAGAUAUAUGAAGGCCAAGCUAAUAAGUAGUUACUUCAAAUUAAUUUGAAUAGAUAUAUCAACAAAGCAGUGAAAGUUCUUUAAACUGCACAUCUGUAGAAAAGAGUUCAGGUUCAUCAGCGGGCAUUGACAUUAAACUAUACAAAAUUUCACACAAAAUACAAGAAAGAAAUAUUUUUUUUCCAAUGGGCAAAUGUAUCACCUUUUAUUAAUAUUUAAUAUUUCUACUAGUUCUUAGAAGUUUUUGUGAAAUUAAAUAUAAUUUCCAGUUUAAGGGACUAUUGUAUACAAGACAAAAAUUUAUGUUUUGAAAUAAAAAUCAUGCGUAGAUAAAUGUUAAUAAAGGUGAUCAGAGGAUUAAGAAAUAAUUUUAGUAUCACUCCUGGACCUCAUUCCAUAAACAAGUUAUUACUAUUGUAAUCUUGUCACUAUGACAAUUACCAUGGUAACAGGGCUGAGCAAGAAAUCAAGGUCUUUAUGGUAGCUGCAAUGGGCUUGGACAAAGUUACCAUAAUUGCAAGUCGUCAUAAUAAUGGCUCAAUAAUUAUAGGGAUAUUAAAUUGCAUUUAUUGUUAUCUUACUCAGAGUUUUGAAAUGGGUUUCCUCUGCAAAAAUAUAUAAAUAGACUAUAUUUUUAAAAAUAGAUUGAAUUCUACCCACAGUGACAGUAGACAAUAUCAAAUUUUGUUAGUGAUUCACUGACUUGGAAAGGCACUGUUUAGGGAGAUUCUUGAAUUAUGCCCCCCCCCCCUUUUUUUAUGUGGAGUGCUCUCACAUUAGUAGAAUAUUUCUUGUCCGCAAAUUUGGAAGGAAUUUACUCUUUUUUUGAGUGACAAACUUGUGUGGAAAGAAUAAACAGAAUAUCUCAGAUUUUUAUGCUCUUUUUAUGAAAUCUUGGAUACAUCCCUCCUAUUGAUUAUUAGGCUCAUCAACAUAUUUUGAGUGAAAUUCUAAUAAACAUUGUAUAUUUUGACUUAAGUGUAGAAAAUGUACUAAAUCCUUUAUUUUUUUAAAUCUAAUUUAAUGCUUGUAGACUCUAGUUGUUAUGUUAUUUUCAAAGUUUCAGAAAAUGGAUUUCGUAAUAAACAUGUUAAUUUUGAAUUAAAUUAUCUGAUCUUGGUCAUUUUCGUUUAUUAAUCACCAAUUUGUGAUGAUAUAUUGCUACCAAAAAAAUUUUAUGCACAAAUGGCACAAGAUGUUGCACCUUGUACUCAAAUGUGAUACUACUGUGACAUCAUGAGAGCAAACAGCAGUUAAUCAAAAUAUUAUUCAAGAGAAAUAAGGAUAAGAGUGGGAAAGUAUGUAAAAUGACAGGAGAAUUAUUUGCCUUUAUGCAUAUAUUUGUGUGUGUCAGUUUUUGAGAGAGAAAGAGAGAGAAGGGGCAGGAGAUGGGGGCAUUUACAGAAAGUUGUUUGUUUUAGAACAAGCAAUCAUAAGACCUUACUGUUCACGAUGGGUAUACGGGGAUGGGAAUUAUUUCUACGAAAUUUGGAACCUUUAUAUAAAAUGUAUUUUUCUUUCCAUAUAAAAAUUAUACCAGAUUCAUUUCCAGUUGAAAAUAAAAAAAAUAAAUAACCUAUACCCUACGAUCGGUUUUCUCUCCUGCCGAGAUAAUUUUGAGAAUCCCCCUAAAAUAUUGUACCUAGGUCAUGGUUAUUGAUAUAAUGACAUAGAAGUCGCCAUUUAAAAUUAAGUGCUCCCGACUGCUAUAAGAGGACCUAUAUUGGGGACUACAAUAAUUAUGUAAAAGUAUUUGAUUUGUUCUUAUUAUUUUUAAAAUUAUAAUAUUUAA
rnacentral:lncRNA from 1 species